GGGGCCAUGGCUCAGUGGUGGAGCCACUGCUUUGCAUGCAGAGGUUGCAGGUUUGAUCCCUGGCAUCUCCA
rnacentral:tRNA from 1 species